CCAAGUACGGCAGUGAAUAUUUAUCUUAAAUACAUCCUCAGUCUGUUGAAAAUGAUAAAUCCACACUUCAGAAUGAGUAGAAUAGUGAGUUUUGAAGGAAUGGCAAGAAAUAACUAGUGGGAUUAUGCUCAAUGAACACUAAAAUUUGCUUCCUGUCAUCAGCUGGGUGAAACUAGCUCAGCCAGGGGUGUCGUAGCCAUUGCUUUUAUUGCAGACGAAGAGCUGACAUUUGACUUCAGUGGUUAAAAUACAGUCAGUACAGCAGCAUUGUACUCUGAAGUUUCAGCUGUAACGUAUUAUGGCAAAUGCCAUUAACUGUAGUGCUUAAAAUGACUUUAAGCACCAUUUCCUGUGUGCUAUUAUAUGCUGCUAUGAGUGUGACAGGCAGUGAUCCACCUUUGUAUGCAUCUGUAAUUGAUUUCUUUGUAACCCUGCUCUGUGCAACUGUGCUCACUUGUGAUUUUCUACUUCCUGAAGGUUGUUCAGAUGGAUGUCUGAAUCAUCAGUGUGAAUGUUCGAAUCAGCAGCAAAUGAGAUGUAAUUUAAAUAGCAGUGGUGGUAUGGAACACUACACAUUGCAAGAAGUCACAGUCGUAAGCAACUUGAGCAUCACACCUAAAAUACCUAAGCAAGCUGUGAAGGAAAAAGGGUGUUAUAUUAUUUUCUCACCAGGUUGCUUCUGAAGAUGCUGAAAGAGCUGCUCUUCUAACAGGAAGGAAGAAUAUUUAUUUUCUGGCAAAAGAGAGUACACAGUGAAAGCAUUUAAUCACUGCAUUGACUUGAAAUUAAUUUGAAGCAGACAAACAAUCCCUUUGAAUAGAGCUCUCUGAAGUGUCACUCCAGGUAUGAACGGAUGAAGAAGAAAAUGCUUGAGCUUUGACUGCAUGGUAACAGAUGUACCAAAAACUCCAUGCAGAAGUGCAGUCCUGCCAGGAUUAUCACUGGAAUUCAGAGAGAUCUGACUCCCUCUGAAAACACGAGCAUAUUUUCCAUUUGUUUGCUGCUUUGCUCAUGUCUGCAUCAAGGCAGACAGACAGUGUGGUUACUGGAACUGAACCCCUUCAGAGUUCAUCAUCCACGCCACCGAACAAGUCAGAUCUGAAUACAGCUGGACCAGAAAUAAGCUGCUCUCACCAGAGUAAAAGGAAGAGGCUGGGUAGCAUGAGGAUACUGAAAACUGGAGUGGUCUUAGUUUUGCUUGGUCUCGUUUAAAGAAGUCCCUAACUGAGGCUGAUUUCAAGAGGUGCCUGCACAGAUGAGGAUGUGAUGUGCCCUGAGUGCACCCUCUCCUUCCCUGCCAGGGGGUCUGCAGGUGCCCUGUGAGUAGAUUCUUGCGUGGAUUUGAUUUAAAUGGAUGUAUUGGCUUGAAAUAAACAUAUCUUUUGUGUAUUUGUGCAUUUUAAAGUUGUGGGACUGUCUCAUUAAUUCAAGAAAUUAUGCAGAGCUGUGACUGAAUCUGCUUUCUCUAUUGCGCAGCAAAUUAAGGCCAAAAAAGAGCUUCUGAGGAGCCACAUAACCCAAGCAAUUCCCUGAGCAGCUGUGUGGCUGCAGCCUUCAGACUUGCCCUUGCCUUGCCUGUGCCUCCCUGAAAGUUGUCUUGCCCUGCUGAUGUAGACCAGAGCAGGAAGCUUUUUCCUUUUUUUUUCCUUUUUAUUCCUUUUUUUCCCUUUUUUCCCUUUUUUUUUUUCUUUUAUAAUAGCAUGCCCCAUGUAUUAUUUCUUAGUAAAAAUCCUUCUCUUGUUAGAAGAAACAAGAGCUCCGAAAGGUUUCUGUCAUUUACUGUGGCUAUGAAUCAGUUUUACCAAGCAGAAUGAUUAGUAGGACACGACAAGGCAAUACCUCGGCAGGGUUUAGAUAUCCUGCCAGUUUGUGUUCUGUACUAACAUGUCACUAAAUAAAAAAUUGGUCUGAAUGGCUUUGGA